rnacentral:rRNA from 1 species
AGAACGAACGCUGGCGGCAUGCCUAACACAUGCAAGUCGAACGCUCUUGGGGCUUCGGUCUCAGGGGAGUGGCGCACGGGUGAGUAGCGCGUGGGAACCUGCCCUGUUGUGGGGGAUAACCGAGGGAAACUUCGGCUAAUACCGCAUAAGCCGGUUGUCUUGAAGGAGAUGGCCGGGAAAGAUUUAUCGCGACAGGAGGGGCCCGCGUCGGAUUAGCUAGUUGGUGGGUAACGGCCCACCAAGGCGGUGAUCCGUAGCUGGUCUGAGAGGAUGAUCAGCCACACUGGGACUGAGACACGGCCCAGACUCCUACGGGAGGCAGCAGUGGGGAAUAUUGGACAAUGGGCGCAAGCCUGAUCCAGCAAUGCCGCGUGAGUGAUGAAGGCCUUAGGGUUGUAAAGCUCUUUCGCCCGCGACGAUGAUGACGGUAGCGGGAGAAGAAGCCCCGGCUAACUUCGUGCCAGGAGCCGCGGUAA